rnacentral:rRNA from 1 species
AUUGAACGCUGGCGGCAGGCCUAACACAUGCAAGUCGAGCGGGGUUUUCGGACCUAGCGGCGGACGGGUGAGUAAUGCGUAGGAAGCUACCCGAUAGAGGGGGAUACCAGUUGGAAACGACUGUUAAUACCGCAUAACGUCUACGGACCAAAGUGUGGGACCCUCGGGCCACAUGCUAUCGGAUGCGCCUACGUGGGAUUAGCUAGUUGGUGGGGUAAUGGCUCACCAAGGCGACGAUCCCUAGCUGGUUUGAGAGGAUGAUCAGCCACACUGGAACUGAGACACGGUCCAGACUCCUACGGGAGGCAGCAGUGGGGAAUAUUGGACAAUGGGCGCAAGCCUGAUCCAGCCAUGCCGCGUGUGUGAAGAAGGCCUUCGGGUUGUAAAGCACUUUCAGUAGGGAGGAAGAGUUGAGUGUUAAUAGUACUCAGCUUUGACGUUACCUACAGAAGAAGCACCGGCUAACUCUGUGCCAGCCGCCGCCGUAAGAC